ACGGUCCGGGAUGGGCCCGCGGCCUAUCAGCUUGUUGGUGGGGUAACGGCCCACCAAGGCGACGACGGGUAGCUGGUCUGAGAGGACGGCCAGCCACACUGGGACUGAGACACGGCCCAG
rnacentral:rRNA from 1 species